ACGCUCGACACCUACGGGGGCAGCAGUGAGGAAUAUUGGUCAAUGGGCGCUAGCCUGAACCAGCCAAGUAGCGUGAAGGAUGAAGGCUCUAUGGGUCGUAAACUUCUUUUAUAUAAGAAUAAAGUGCAGUAUGUAUACUGUUUUGUAUGUAUUAUAUGAAUAAGGAUCGGCUAACUCCGUGCCAUCAGCCGCGGUAAUCUGAGCGGGCUGGCAAGGC
rnacentral:rRNA from 1 species